rnacentral:tRNA from 1 species
GUUUAAAUAGCUUAUGCAGAGCAUGACAUUGAAGAUGUCAGGGAGGUCUGUAGACCUUUAAACA